rnacentral:rRNA from 1 species
UUAAGUUGCAGGGUAUAGACCCGAAACCCGGUGAUCUAGCCAUGGGCAGGUUGAAGGUUGGGUAACACUAACUGGAGGACCGAACCGACUAAUGUUGAAAAAUUAGCGGAUGACCUGUGGCUGGGGGUGAAAGGCCAAUCAAACCGGGAGAUAGCUGGUUCUCCCCGAAAGCUAUUUAGGUAGCGCCUCGUGAAUUCAUCUCCGGGGGUAGAGCACUGUUUCGGCUAGGGGGCCAUCCCGGCUUACCAACCCGAUGCAAACUGCGAAUACCGGAGAAUGUUAUCACGGGAGACACACGGCGGGUGCUAACGUCCGUCGUGAAGAGGGAAACAACCCAGACCGCCAGCUAAGGUCCCAAAGUCAUGGUUAAGUGGGAAACGAUGUGGGAAGGCCCAGACAGCCAGGAUGUUGGCUUAGAAGCAGCCAUCAUUUAAAGAAAGCGUAAUAGCUCACUGGUCGAGUCGGCCUGCGCGGAAGAUGUAACGGGGCUAAACCAUGCACCGAAGCUGCGGCAGCGACACUGUGUG